CCCCAACAUACUUCCCAGAAAUUAAUUUGCUGCAACAGCCAAGCCACACUUACUACAGCCUGGGGAUAUCAUGAAGCUCUGCCACUAAUUUCCUGAGAAAAAGGUUCAUAGGAGCAUAGGUGAAACCUCACGGUGGACCUCAACCACCAGAAGCAGUUUCCAAGGAGAGUUCAAAAGGAUCCCUUCUUCUCUGUGAUAAACCUACUUUAUCAACAACUGUGUCCUUGGAUCUCUGACUGCAAGCCUUCGAGUUCCAGUAUUACUCUCAAUGAAGCUAAAACAACACCAGUGAAUGGGAGUUCAUUAUCUCCACAGUCCUCCGCAGUUUGCCACUGGUUCGCAUGCGCAGUGCGAGCCAAACGCAUGCUUCAUGCAGAAAAAGGAGGCUUAAGAAGCAUGGGAAUCCAAGAUGCUUCAGACAGCUAGGUGACUUUCCAGAAAUACAUAAUAGGCGAUGCUGGAGAAGGAGAAAUCAGUGAAUGGAGUCACCUUUGCAUUAUCCUGUUUCUUUUUUCUACAACAAAAGAAGCAUUUGAUUUGUAUAAAGGACCCAUUUAGUAGUAAAAGCAUUUCCAAAAUUAUGGUUGUUAUCGAUUGCAGAAAUAAUUUGACAUGAAUCAUACUGCUGCAAUAAUAACUGAAUAAUUAAUUGAAAAUAAUUUUAGCCUGGAUAUUACAAAAGUUGGGCGGAUAUUUUUGUAGCCGAUAAAGAUGGAAUGUAAGUGAAGUAUCUGAUUUCAUACUCUUUUUUUUGGUAUAAAUUCUAAAUAUGUUUCUAAAUAGACAGUCCUCGAUUAAUAACAACAUUCGGUGACAAUUUGAAGUGACAACAGGACUGAACAAAUGGUAUUUAUGACUGUUCCUCAAAGUUAUAGCCUUUGCAGUGCCCCAUGGUCAUGGGAACAAAAUUUGGGUACUUGAGAACCAAGCCCAGACUGCAGCAUGUGCUUCGACUCCCCACAUCUGCCUAUCUUCCCACCCCAUCUCUGCCUUUUGGCCACCCUACACUCUGCCACCCUAAACCUCCCUUAGCUGACAAUGGUAAGUGUGGCAAGGCAGUGGAGUCUUAUUUGCUGAAGGGAGCUUGCCAGGCCUGACUAGGGAAGCAGCAGCAGGAUGGAGCUGGCAGAUUGAGCAGGGCAGGAGACACAUGGGGUCCUCACCUAAUGACACUGUCCUUGCCUAGUGUCUAUUGGAACUACGGUUGCUUUGUAGCGCAGUCACAUGAUGUUUUGCCUAACAACAUCUUCACUUAGCAAUGGAAAUAGGGUUGUUAGGCGAAGACUACUAUAGAUAAUAUUCUACAGACUGAGGAGAGUGUUUGAACUAUUCCCACCAAUCUACAGGACAAAUGUCCCUUUUCUCAAACAGAGAAAGAAAGAUACGUGUUUAUUAUAAACCCUAAGAAAAAAGAUCUCCAUAAGAAAAUAUUGCAUAAAGCCCAAGGAUUUGUGAAACAAAAAAUAAGAUUCCCAGUACAAAAAAUACACUCAGGAAUACACUCAGGAUCUGUAUAUUCUUUUCCCUUUCCAUGAUUCUUUUUUCUCUCUUGUUUCCUUCCCCAGUAUUCUUGCAUUUCCAUGAACUCGGUAAACUCCUAUUGACUAACAAUUAAGGGAAGCCUCAUCAAUUUCCAGUUUUCUCUACUCAGAAUCUUUCUCCUGAUUUUUAAUGAAGAAAGUUCCUAUCGUUCUUUCAAGAAAUACAUACAAGGAAUAUAAAAGAUGCUUAAAAAGGUACUGAGCUAUGAAGGCCUAAGUGAUUUAUAUCUCUACUCAUAUAAGUUAUCCAUAUUUUGAUAUAGCAAACAUGAAUUAUAUUCUGAAUACCUUUUUCUGUUACUUUUUCUGAUACAGCUAAGUUCUAGACAAUUCAAGAAGCCAACAUUUGAUGAAUUUGAACGAACAGGCAAAUAAUUUUAUAAAGUUUUGCCAGUGCACUUUUAAAAACCUAAGAAUGAUUCUGGGGGUGGGGGGAAUUAAUCCCCUUGGAGAUUCCUGCCAUUCUUCAGAUACAGUGAAAUAAAGAAGCUAUUUUUUUCUACUGUUAUUUAUUAAUGUAAUAUUUUCAGUUUAAUGGAACCGCACAUAACUGCCAUUGAUUGGAGGAAAAGCAACCUACAACUUCUCAGUUGUUUCAUAGUUUCAUUGCUCCGGUUUCCUUUAAACUUUUAUCCUAUAUAUUUCUGGCCUCUAAAAAUGACACAUUCCAUUCUUUAUGUCAAACUUAUCAAAAUUAAACUAUUUCCAGCUGCCAAAAUAGCUAUAAGGGAAAAAUGUUAUUAUAUUACAUUAUAUUAUAUAGUGCUGUUAGCAAGCUGAGGAUUUUCCCCUCAUCCAUUACAAUUUAAUAUAUACCCCCCCACCCCGCAAAAAUUCCCUGGAUAGUACAGUAGAUGUGGCGAUUAUAAUAGCAAACAUAUAUGCUUUCUUCACACACUGUAUAAUUAAAACCAAUCGUCAUAAUCAACUGAAAGAAGGCAAGUAUGCAAAGCAGGAAAUAGUCUUGACCUAUUAGACUAAAAACAAAUUAUCUUCAUAAUCCAAUUAUAUUGAUGUACUGUAUAGCCUAUUCUCUCUUGUGUUGAUUCUGCUCUUGUAUUUGUGAUUUAUCUUGAACUACAGUUUCACACA